ACGUUACCCGCAGAAGAAGCACCGGCUAACUCCGUGCCAGCAGCCGCGGUAAUACGGAGGGUGCAAGCGUUAAUCGGAAUUACUGGGCGUAAAGCGCACGCAGGCGGUCUGUCAAGUCGGAUGUGAAAUCCCCGGGCUCAACCUGGGAACUGCAUUCGAAACUGGCAGGCUUGAGUCUUGUAGAGGGGGGUAGAAUUCCAGGUGUAGCGGUGAAAUGCGUAGAGAUCUGGAGGAAUACCGGUGGCGAAGGCGGCCCCCUGGACAAAGACUGACGCUCAG
rnacentral:rRNA from 1 species